rnacentral:tRNA from 1 species
GCCCGGGUGGUGGAAUUGGUAGACACGUUGGACUUAAAAUCCAAUGNACAUUAUGUNCGUACGGGUUCAAGUCCCGUCCCGGGUA